rnacentral:lncRNA from 1 species
GUGAACAUUUCAAGCUGAAAGCAUAACAAAAAAUCACAGAUGUGAAUAUCCAUCUUGGGAAGACAAAUGCAAAGGAUUGGAGUCAUCUGUGGGAAAGAGCAAAGAGAUUCCCAGAGGCAACAUCUCCUGUCACUAAGGAAAACAACACAGAAACCUGAGGUAAGCCUCUAGUCACAGAAGACAAAGGCUGGGCGUGGUUAGGAAGCUUGGCAGCACAGCCAAGAGCGUGCACACAGC